rfam:Nematostella vectensis strain CH2 x CH6 NEMVEscaffold_332_Cont24098, whole genome shotgun sequence.
CCGUUUUCUGCUUCAACAGUGAUUGAACCGAAACAG